GCGACMCCAGGUCAGGCGGGACUACCCGCUGAGUUUAAGCAUAU
rnacentral:rRNA from 1 species